ACAAGUUUUUAGGGACAGGCGGGCUAUGCUUUAGUACGUAGCGAUCGUUCUCCUGUUCUCUAUGCUCCAUGAUGCUAACCAUGGAGCAUAGAGAACAGGAGAACGAUCGCUACGUACUAAAGCAUAGCCCGCCUGUCCCAAAAACUUGUAUCAGCCACCAGUCUGCGCUGCCGACGGUAAGUUGCCUCUGUGAAGUUAGCUGUUUAUGACAUGUGCUUAUGAGUACAAGUAAAUGAAGUUAGUUGAAUAAUGUAUUUUGUAAACAAUGUUUACAAAUUUACUUCGCGGCAUUGGUGAGAAAAUAAUCGUGCUCCGUAAUUUUUUAAUUUUUGACCAAAGAAACAUUAAAAAAUGGUGAAAUAUUGUAUUGUGCGUGGAUGUAAAAGAGGUUUAGCAUCUGAUCGCUAAAAUAGAAUGAAUUACUGAAAAACAAUUUGCGUCAAUCAUCUUUAUUCAAAGUACCAAACUACCAAAGAAUAACGUAUUGAGGGAUAAUGGGUAAAAGCUUUAUCACAACAAUUGACUCCAAAUCAGUUUAUCUGUGAGAAGCACUUUCCGAAGAAGAUAUUAAGAAAGGUGAUCGAUUGAUUAAUGGAGCUGAAAUUAUCAUCCCUCGCGAAAGGUUGACUCUUUUGAAUGACAAUGUCAUUCCAAUAAACCCUCAGGAUUUGAAAAAGGACAUUUCUGAAGAGAUUUCAAUGCCAAAAUUUACUAUUUUUAGAUGAUAUUGAAAUAUAAGAAAUAUCAAAUCUGUUUACUUUACUUUAAAGUUGCUUUUUUUUUGUUACAGCAAGUUCCAAUAGUGCAAAAUGAUAUUAAUAACUGACCAAUCGAAAACCUGGAUUAUACACAACCUUCGUUAAAAAUCAUUCAAGGUAACAAUUUAAAAGAAGAUUCUCAACCAGCAAGACCCCGUCAUAUGGAAUCACCAGAGAUUGUAACAGCUAAUAAUGUAAAAGAAUUAGAUAUUAUUAUGUUUAUCAUAUUGUUAUAGAUUUGCGAGAUUUUAAUAUAUUUUUUUUUGUACAUAAAUUUCAACAUUAGGUCAUUAUCUCGAACAUGUCUCCACCAUCAUGUGUUACACUAGAAGAGAUCCAUGCUCAUUUUCACUCAAUACUGAUCCAAGGAUGGUGUUAUUUUGCUUGUGAUGAAGAGUUGAUAUUUAGUCAUAUCAAUAUUCGCACCCGAAAAGAAGAUAUGAAUUUUACUAUUGCCAAUAAUCUUUCAGUGAAGGUAAAUAAUUUUCUCAUGCUUUUUUGAAUAAUUUUAUAUAUUCAUAAUGCAUAAAGAGCAUUUUAUUAUAAUUUAUUAAGUUUUGCUCACAUAAUCAUUUCUGAUACAACAGGUUUCUUUCUCUCAAUGACCAGAAAUUGUUAUUGAUGAUACUAUAUCAUCUAUAGAAGAUAUAAAAAUGUAUAUGGAAACUCUGCAAGCCACUAUCUUAUGUGAAGGAACUGACAUACACUAUAGGUACGAUAUAUUUUCUUUAAUUUCUUUUAAUAUAAAUAAAAAUCUCAUACUAUUACACAUUAGGUGAAAAUUGAAAAUAAACUUAAAGAUUCACCUAAAUCGAGGCUCCAUCUAGAACUGUGACACCUGAAGUAAAAACAAGCAUCAAGUACAUCUUUUAGUAGUAGUGUGAAAAGAAAGAGAGUAUCUACAUUACCUUUGAAAAAUUCCAAAUCACCUUGUAAGUCAAUAGAUAUGUUUUUUAGGUAGCAGAUUUUUUUUUUAAUUAUCUAAGUGUAUGCAAAUGAACUUGUAAAUAAUGUAAAUACAUUUAUAAAGCAAUUUUAUGAAAUAAAAAAAUAUGAUAUUUUAAUUGUUUUUUAU
rnacentral:misc_RNA from 1 species